rnacentral:rRNA from 1 species
CAGUAGCCGCGGGAAUACGAAGGUCCCAAGCGUUGUUCGGAAUCACUGGGCGUAAAGGGAGCGUAGGCGGCGUGGUAAGUCAGAUGUGAAAUCCCGGGGCUCAACCCCGGAACUGCAUCCGAUACUGCCAUGCUUGAGGGUUGGAGAGGUAGCUGGAAUUCUCGGUGUAGCAGUGAAAUGCGUGGAUAUCGAGAGGAACACUCGUGGCGAAGGCGAGCUACUGGACAACAACUGACGCUGAGGCUCGAAGGCCAGGGUAGCGAAAGGGAUUAGAUACCCCAGUAGUCCCUGUCUCUUAUAC